AGCAUAUCAAUAAGCGGUGGAAAAGAAACUAACCAGGAUUCCCCUAGUAACGGCGAGUGAACAGGGAUUAGCCCAGCACCGAAGUCUGCGUCUGUUUGGACGUUGGACAAUGUGGUGUUUAGGUUAGCAUUUUUGAAUGUCGCUCCGUUUAAAGUCCAUUCUUGAAUAUGGCUAAUAGUUUGGCCCAGAGAGGGUGAAAGGCCCGUGUGGAUGGAGUGAUGUUUAACUGUGUUAACUAUGGAGUCGGGUUGUUUGAGAAUGCAGCCCAAAGUUGGUGGUAAACUACCAUACUAAGGCUAAAUACUGGCACGAGUACCGAUAGCGAACAAGUCCGUGAGGGAAAAUU
rnacentral:rRNA from 1 species